GGAGGACGGGUGGGCGGGGAGAGGACUACGGAGUCUCCAGUGAUCCAAACCGCGUCGUCCUACCGCGUUUUAGAGCCACGACGACCUCCGGGUGGCCGAGUGCCGAGCGGGCUUAGCAGAGGCGGAGGAGGGUUAGGGAGUCCUGCCAAGUCAGGAUACCCGGCCCCGGUGAACCCGCCAGCAAGUAACUUUUCCAGGGCUGACAGGAACAAGGUGCAGUCAGCGCGGGUGAAAAUCAUGCAUGGAUGUGAGAAUUGGACCAAAGAAAGCUGAGCACGGAAAAAUUGAUGCCUUUGAACUGUGGUGUUGGAGAAGACUCUUAAGAGUCCCUUGGACUGCAAGCAGAUCCAACCUAAAGGAUCAGUCCUAAAGGAUAUCAGUCCUGAAUAUUCAUUGGAAGGACUGAUGUUGAAGCUGAAGCUCCAAUACUUUGUCCACCUGAUAUGAAGAACUGACUCACUGGAAAAGACCCUGAUGCUGGGAAAGAUUGAAGUCAGGAGGAGAAGGGGACGACAGAGGAUGAGAUGAUUGGAUGGCAUCACCGACUCGAUGGACAUUAGUUUGAGCAAGCUCCAGGAGUUGGUGAUGGACAGGGAAGCCUGGUGUGCUGCAGUCCGUGGGGUCACAAAGAGUCAGACAGGACUGAGUGAUGGAACUGAACUGAAUAUAUUAAUACCAUAUAAUGCUUUUAUUAUUGGUAUUUUUUGCAUAGUCUGAUUUUCUUAGCUUUAAUUUUCUUUUUGACCUAAAAGUAAUGUGAGGUAGAUUUAAAAAUAUAGUAAUAUCUGGAGAAUUGCCUGGCUGUCCAGUGGUUAGGACUCCACGCUUUCACUAAUGAGGGUGUGGAUUCAAUCCCUGGUUAGGAAACUAAAUCCCACAAGCAGCGUGGCUUAAUAAUAAUUAAUUAUUUUUUUUAGAACAGCCUUACUUUUAUGGGAAAUUGAGUAGGUAGUACAGAGUUCCUAUCUAUGAGCUUCACUGGUGGCUCAGAUGGGUAAAGAAUCCGCCUGCAAUGUGGGAGACCUGGGUUCGAUCCCUGGAUUGCAAAGAUCCCCUGGAGAAGGGAAUGGCUACCCACUGCAGUAUUCUUGCCUGGAGAGUUCCUAUCUCUAUAUAGCCCCUUUUCACUAACCAAGGAUUCCCCUGUUAUUAACCAGGGCACCACAGCAGUGAAAGUGCUGAGUCUUAAAACACCUGAUACACUGGAACACCAGGGAAUUCCCAGGAUGAUACAUUGAUUACAAUUGAUGAGCCAGUAUUGAUAUAUUGUUAUUAAUUAAAGCCCAUAAAUUACCUUAUGUUUCAAUCUUUGUGCUGCACGCAUAUACCAUGUGUGUAUUUGAAUUUAUAGAUUAUCUCUGAAAUAAUUAUGCAAGAAACUGAUCAUUAUUUUUGCCUCCAGGGAGGGGAACUUGAUGGCUAAGAAAUAGAACUUAUUUCCUAAUAUAAAAUAAAAUUUAUCAAGAUGAAUACUAAUUGAGGACUGUAAAAAACUUGUAUAAACAGCUCUUUCGAGAACUUUUGUUGCAUAGGACAAAGAAAUGGGGUAAUUGUUGGAGGGGAACAUGGAAUCAAAGAGAAUUUUUAGGAUGGAGUAUAAUAGAGCAUGUAGACUGCUUGGAAUGAAGCAGUGGAGAAACAGUGAUGAUGAAGAGAGAGGGGACAAUGUAUUGCAUGGAUGGCAUCUACUAGCCAAGUAGAAGGUGACCUUUGCUAUUAAUAGGAUACCUGCUCCUUGGGAACCAGGGGCAAAAAAGGAGUCCAUGGGUUCACAACAGAAGGGAGUAAUGGUUUAGUAUGUGGAAACAAGGGAGUUCCUUUUUUAUGAUUUUUACUGUCUCAGUGUGAUCAUCAGCUACAACUGAGAGAGCAGAAAGAUGUAUAGGAGGUCAAAACAGUGAGAUGUAUUAGCCAGACUUCUGGGAGAGCCCAGAAUCCCUGAUUGGCUAUCCAUCACUUCUCACAGUGUGAAGGAUCCCAGAUUCGGUUCUCCUUGCUCACUCUUUCACCUUGUCCCACUUUGAUGAUUCAACAAUUCCCAUCUAGAUAUGGCUCCCUUAAUCCAGAGGUAUUUUACAUCUCUGUGCCCUUGUUACAUGUUUUCCUCUGCUUUCAAUAUGACCCCCUCAAUAUGGCUUUCAAAAACCUAUGUACAGUUACAAUAGCAUCUAAAAGAAUGAAACACCUAACAAAUGAAUUUUACCAAUGAGGUGACUAGCUUGUACAAUGGAAGAUACAGAAUAUUGCUGAAAAAAUUAAAGAGGACUUAAGUAACUGGAAAAACAUUCCAUGUUCAUGGAUUGGAAAACUUCAAAUAUUGUUAAGAUGACAUUACCCAAAGCAAUCUAGAAAUUCAAUGCAAUCCCUAUCAAAGUCUUAUCAGGCUUUUUUCUCCUGAAAUGGAAAAUCUGCUCCUCAAAUUCAUAUGGAAUUGCAAGGGGUACCAAAUAGACAAAACAAUUUUUGGAAAAAAGAGCCAAUUUGGAGGAUACACACUUCCUUAUUUUAAAACUUACUACAAAACUACAGUAAUUAUAAAUGUGGUAAUGGCAUAAGGAUAAACAUAUAGAUCAAUGGAAUAGAACGGAGUCAGAAAUGAAAAGAUGCUCAACAGCACUAACUUUUAAAGGACUAGAAAUCAAAACUACAAUGAGGUACCACUUUACAACAAUCACAAUGGCCCUGGUUAAAAAGUCUACAAGUAACAAAUGCUGGAGAGGGUGUGGAGAAAAAAGAAUCCUGUUACACUGUGUGUGGGGAUGUAAAUUUGUGUAGCCACUGUGGAAAACAGGAUGGAGGUUCCUCAAAAAACUAAAGUUGCCAUAUGAUCUGGGAAUCCCACUCCUGGGCAUAUACCCAGACAAAACUAAUACAACGAAAAAAGAUACAUGCACCCCUAUGUUCAUAGCAGUGCUAUGUCCAACAAACAGAUGGAAUAUUGUUUAGUUUCUAAGUCAUGUCUGACUGUUUUUGCAACCCCAUGGACUGUAGCCUGCCAGGCUCCUCUGUCCAUGGGAUUUCUCAGGCAAGAGUACUGGAGGAUCUUACCGAUCCAUGGAUUGACCCUGUGUCUCCUACAUUGGCAGGCAGGUUCUUUACCACUGAGCCACCAUGGAAGCCCAGUAUGAAAUGUUGCUCAUCUGUAAAAAAGAAUGAAAUAAUGCCAUUUGCAAAAACAUGGCUGGACCCAAGAAUUGUCACACCGAGUAAACUUGUAGGAUCUUAGUUCCCCAACCAGGGAUAGCACCCUGACUCCCUCAGCAGUGAGAUCACGGAAUCCUAGCCACCGGACUCUCAGAGAACUCCCAAACGUUUAUGUAUAAUAUGGACAAACAACACGAUCCUGUUGUAUAGCACAGGAAAUUAUAUUCAAUACCCUGUGAUAAGCCGUAAUGCAUACGAAUAUGAAAAAGAAUAUAUGUAUGUAUAACUGAGUCAUUUUGCUGUAUAACAGAAAUUAACACAACAUUGUAAAUCACCUAUACGUAAAUAAAAUGAAAGAAAAGAGUCAGAAAUAAACCUUUGUAUAUGGUGAACUUAUUUUCAACAAGGGGGUCAAGCCCUUUCAGUGGGGGAAAGAAUAAUCU